GGAGCAUGUGGCUUAAUUUGACUCAACGCGGGAAAUCUUACCGGGUCCGGACACACUGAGGAUUGACAGGCAAUAUCUCAUGUUAACGGUAAGUUUACUUACCGCUUAACAUCGAGUGUUAAAUAUGCUAGUCCUUUCAUGAUUAUGUGAUAGGUGGUGCAUGGCCGUUCUUAGUUCGUGGAGUGAUCUGUCUGCUUAAUUGCGUUUCACUAAGGGCCCAUAAAUUCAAGGUAUGUUAGCUCUCGUCGCUCUAUGGACCCCUUAACUCCAAUAUUCUUAUUGUGUUAAGCGCGUGUCUUUAUUUUAAGAGUUUUAAGACACUGCGCAUGCUGUUGGGCUCUGAAAGCAACGAACGUGACCGCAACGUCUUGUUGCCUUAAACUAGCGUAUAUUGCAAUUUAUUGUAAUAUCGCUUACAGAGGCUAUUUAAAACUAGACGGACCGCUGUUUCUUUCUUAAACCAGAGGAAGGUUGCGGC
rnacentral:rRNA from 1 species